AAUAGUCCCCUUUACGAUGCCAUUCUACUGCAGAUACAGUCCUAAAAUGCCUCAAUUUUAUUCCUUCAUGUUUCUCAUCUCGAACCCAGCUCAAACUGGAGCUCUUGUUACCAGAAUCAUCUGCCAGAAUAGACAUCUCAACAUGAAGAAGUUCCUUUACUUUUUUCUGCACUUCUUCAUUGCCCAAUCCUGUGUUCAAAACAAUUACAUCUUGUCCCACAGAGAUCGCCAAGAUAGGAAGCUCGUGCAAAGGACUCCAUGCUACACACUGGACAGCUUCACUAAACUCCCAGAUUUUAAGACAUCUA
rnacentral:misc_RNA from 1 species